GGGGGUGUCGCAUAGUGGCAAUUGCAGGGGACUGUAAAUCCCCCCUCUUCGGAGUUCGGCGGUUCGAGUCCGCCCGCCCCCA
rfam:Chlamydiae bacterium RIFCSPHIGHO2_01_FTLL_44_39 rifcsphigho2_01_scaffold_1164, whole genome shotgun sequence.